rnacentral:rRNA from 1 species
CCUACGGGAGGCAGCAGUAGGGAAUAUUGCUCAAUGGGGGAAACCCUGAAGCAGCAAAGCCGCGUGGAGGAUGAAGGUUUUAGGAUUGUAAACUCCUUUUGUUAGAGAAGAUAAUGACGGUAUCUAACGAAUAAGCACUGGCUAACUCCGUGACAGAAGCCGCGGUAAUGCGGAGGGUGCAAGCGUUAUUCGGAAUCACUGGGCGUAAAGCGUGAGUAGGCGGGUUAGCAAGUCAGAUGUGAAAUCCUAUGGCUUAACCAUAGAACGGCAUUUGAAACUGUUCUACUAGAGUAUAGGAGAGGUAGGUGGAAUUCGGGGUGUAGGGGUGAAAUGCGUAGAGAUCAAGAAGAAUACGCAUUGCGAAGGCGACCUACUAGAACAUAACUGACGCUGAUGCGCGAAAGCGUGGGGAGCAAACAGGAUUAGAUACCCUUGUAGUC